AAAAACUGUGGAGCUUCUGUUACACAAGACAAUGCCCCUGACUUCUCUCAGAACAACUCUGGAAAGCUAGUGGCAUGCUUAAGCACAGCUGUAGUGGGAUGCCUGCUAGUAAAACUCCCUGGCCCCGGGAUUCACAUACCUGGUCAAAUGCUGCCAAACCAAGACUUGUGAAUGUGUUACAACUUAACCCAAACAAAAAUAGAGAGCAUAAUCUUUGUGUCUGUAGAGAGAAUGUACUUCAAGCUACUGCCAGCAGAGAGUCCCAUUGCUUUCAUAUUGAGAAGAAAACAAUUUAGCACAAUCCCCAAAAUCACGGAACGAACAGCAAGCCACUUUUAAUUACUUUAAUAGGGUCAUAGACAGAAGCCCUCAGCAGCAGCCACCUGCAAGUGCUUUCCCUCACCCUCAACUCAUUUUUUUUACAGUAUUUCCAAACUGUAUGUCAAGUUUCAAAAAAGGAAGCUCAGAAGUAUGGCUUGGACUUCCACAAAGAGGCUGGCACAUUUCUCAACAUUUCAGCUUGGCUUAAUGAGAACAAAGUGAAACAGUUUAACUGUAAUCAAGUUAACUUGCAAGCCAGCCCCUACAUCGCAUUGUAAAAUUAAAGGGCUCCCGAGCAUCUGGCCUGCACUCCUACUACAUAUGCUUACCCCAGGAGCAAUGUGCUUAGUCUGAGGAGACAUCAGGCGUCUGUCAAGCAUGUCAGCCUCACUCCAAGCAGGCCAGCCCUUCCAGCAGCAGCAACACUUCUUACAGGAGCGAAACCUCCGACGCAAAGCAGCGCACCAGCGGAAACUUCAGCGGAUCAGCCCACACUGACCAUUAUUGCGAGUAGCUGUACUUCUGAGGCCUGGUUUAAAGGGCCCAGCUAUUGUCUAUACGGAGCAAGACUGCUCGCUGGCCGUUUCUCUCAGCUCUUGAUCUGAUUCAGUCCCUACGUUAGGGACAGCUCAGCAGAGAGCCUGUCACCAUCAAUUACCAAGGAGGAGUGGGAGGGCUCCGUGCUCAUGGUGACGCCAGCCGCUGUAAGGACGAAGCCUGCACACUUGCUGGAGUAACAUCACACUCUGUUCAUCUCAGAUGUAUGGCUUGCAACAUGCAUGGCCACCUGGAACAUACAACUGCCGCGCGGCCAGGAACAGGAAAGGCGUCUGAGCAUUAACACCGCAUAAUCGAUUUACUGAUGCUUGUGGAUACAGCUAACUUGAAGAAACUGGCUUGCAAAUUGUUGCUCCUGAGACCAUCAGCUACAUUUGAGGAGUGGAUUAUUGCAUCGUCGUGGCUGUUGAUCUUCCUGAAUUCAAGAAGACACUGCUUUGCAAAUAUAAGUUUAGUGGAAAAUGAGGGAUUCGAGCUGUCUAAAUACACUCCUGUCUUUUCACUACAUUUACUGCAAGAUUCACCAAGUAAGAUCAAUGCACAACAGCAGUUCACAGUUAAGUAAAAGGUUAGGCAAGCAGGAUGCACAGAGUAUCUACAACUUGAUUUUAGUUUCUGCAGAGGAGAAGCUUUAGCACUCAAUGAGAUUUUAAGAUGUCACUGAGAGAUGUGUUAGGAAAUUUACUGGAAUCUGAGUGCAGCACAAAAAUGCAAACAUCACAUAAACCAGCUGAACUAAAGGUUUAGAUAAAUUCACACUACUGCUAGGAGCAGAGCUCUUGCUCCUCUCCUGCCCCCAUCCCUGGUACCCCCAGCAGGUGCUUCCCUCCCCUCUACCAUCCAGCACUUGUCAGACCCUUCCAGGAGGACAGUGACACACCUGGCUUAUUUGGAAACUAUUUGUUUGUUUUAAGGAGGUUUUAUUCAAUCAUUAAGAUAAAAUUGAUAAAGAAAACAAAAGCAGGGAAAAGGAUACUGGUAGUGGUGGGGCAAUUCCAUCACUGCAAAGCCCUACAAAAUAACCCACCAAGGGUGUACAUCCCUUGUCAGCUUAAUUUCUGUUUUGAAAUGCAUAGCGAUAGCUACGCAAUGCAAAGCUGUAUCAGUUUUAAAGCAGAAAAGAGAUCUACUUCAAAAGCAUCUCACAUUAAAAAUAUUAAUAAUUAACCACUCCCACACAUAUACUUAAGCAAACAGAAAAAAUUAUGUCCUUUAAGAUACAUAUAACAUUUAAAUGAAGGGGGGUUUUUUAUUACAGAUAAUUCAUGUCCCCAUUUUUCCACACUAAAAUACAAAUACAAAUUUAACUCCAUCCACAGUGAGCAAGGCAAACCCUUCCAUUCGUGUACUUUGAUUUUAGACUUAGAUUAUCUACAGACAAUGUUAGCUUACUGCAAUCUCCUUCAAUGUUAAUUCUUCUGAAAAUGUUCUUAUUGGCGUGAUCUGAAGCCCACAAGGCUCUCUUUGGUUGGCUUUAGAUUAGGCCCUUACAUAACUGCAACAUCUGGGCCCCAUUUCAACUAUGCAAAUUCCAGCAGACACAAUUUCUGUGUGUAUAUAUUAGUUUUUGUUUAACAGACACCUGUAAUUUGGAACAGCUAAUACAUAUUUUCCAAGAAAAUAAUGAAAUAAAUACUGCAAUUUUGUGUGAAAUACA